CACUCCUACGGGAGGCAGCAGUGGGGAAUAUUGGACAAUGGGGGCAACCCUGAUCCAGCCAUGCCGCGUGAGUGAUGAAGGCCCUAGGGUUGUAAAGCUCUUUUGUGCGGGAAGAUAAUGACGGUACCGCAAGAAUAAGCCCCGGCUAACUUCGUGCCAGCAGCCGCGGUAAUACGAAGGGGGCUAGCGUUGCUCGGAAUCACUGGGCGUAAAGGGUGCGUAGGCGGGUCUUUAAGUCAGGGGUGAAAUCCUGGAGCUCAACUCCAGAACUGCCUUUGAUACUGAGGAUCUUGAGUCCGGAAGAGGUGAGUGGAACUGCGAGUGUAGAGGUGAAAUUCGUAGAUAUUCGCAAGAACACCAGUGGCGAAGGCGGCUCACUGGUCCGGUACUGACGCUGAGGCACGAAAGCGUGGGGAGCAAACAGGAUUAGAUACCCUAGUAGUCCCAUGA
rnacentral:rRNA from 1 species